rnacentral:rRNA from 1 species
GAUCCUGGCUCAGGAUGAAUGCUAGCUACAGGCUUAACACAUGCAAGUCGAGGGGCAGCAUGGUCUUAGCUUGCUAAGGCCGAUGGCGACCGGCGCACGGGUGAGUAACACGUAUCCAACCUGCCGUCUACUCGUUGGACAGCCUUCUGAAAGGAAGAUUAAUACAAGAUGGCAUCAGUGAGUCCGCAUGUUCACAUGAUUAAAGGUAUUCCGGUAGACGAUGGGG